rnacentral:tRNA from 1 species
GGAGAUGUGGCUCAGUGGUUAAGGGCACUGGCUGCUCUUCCAGAGGUCCUAGGUUCUAUUCCUGGCACCCA